UACGAAGGGGGCUAGCGUUGCUCGGAAUCACUGGGCGUAAAGCGCACGUAGGCGGACUCUUAAGUCGGUGGUGAAAUCCUGGAGCUCAACUCCAGAACUGCCUCCGAUACUGCGAGUCUCCGAGUCCGGGAGAGGUGAGUGGAACUGCGAGUGUAGAGGUGAAAUUCGUAGAUAUUCGCAAGAACACCAGUGGCGAAGGCGGCUUACUGGUCCGAUACUGACGCUGAGGCACGAAAGCGUGGGGAGCAAACAGG
rnacentral:rRNA from 1 species